GUACACAAAAAUGCACAUACUGUGAGCUCGAUGAGUAGGGCGGGACACGUGGUAUCCUGUCUGAAUAUGGGGGGACCAUCCUCCAAGGCUAAAUACUCCUGACUGACCGAUAGUGAACCAGUACCGUGAGGGAAAGGCGAAAAGAACCCCGGCGAGGGGAGUGAAAAAGAACCUGAAACCGUGUACGUACAAGCAGUGGGAGCCUCUUAAUGGGGUGACUGCGUACCUUUUGUAUAAUGGGUCAGCGACUUAUAUUCUGUAGCAAGGUUAACCGAAUAGGGGAGCCGAAGGGAAACCGAGUCUUAACUGGGCGUUAAGUUGCAGGGUAUAGACCCGAAACCCGGUGAUCUAGCCAUGGGCAGGUUGAAGGUUGGGUAACACUAACUGGAGGACCGAACCGACUAAUGUUGAAAAAUUAGCGGAUGACUUGUGGCUGGGGGUGAAAGGCCAAUCAAACCGGGAGAUAGCUGGUUCUCCCCGAAAGCU
rnacentral:rRNA from 1 species